UACGGGGGGGGUAAGCGUUGUUCGGAAUUACUGGGCGUAAAGGGCUCGUAGGCGGCCAACUAAGUCGGACGUGAAAUCCCUCAGCUUAACUGGGGAACUGCGUCCGAUACUGGAUGGCUUGGAUUUGGGAGAGGGAUGCGGAAUUCCAGGUGUAGCGGUGAAAUGCGUAGAUAUUGGGAAGAACACCGGUGGCGAAGGCGGCUCUCUGGACCGAUACUGACGCUGAGGCGCGAAAGCGUGGGUAGCAAACAGG
rnacentral:rRNA from 1 species